GACGAACGCUGGCGGCGUGCUUAACACAUGCAAGUCGAGCGGUAAGGCCCUUUCGGGGGUACACGAGCGGCGAACGGGUGAGUAACACGUGGGUGACCUGCCCUUAGCUCUGGGAUAAGCCUGGGAAACUGGGUCUAAUACCGGAUAUGACUCCAUGACGCAUGUUGUGGGGUGGAAAGCCUUGUGCGGCUAGGGAUGGGCCCGCGGCCUAUCAGCUUGUUGGUGGGGUGAUGGCCUACCAAGGCGACGACGGGUAGCCGGCCUGAGAGGGCGACCGGCCACACUGGGACGUGAGACACGGCCCAGACUCCUACGGGAGGCAGCAGUGGGGAAGUCUUGCGCAAUGGGCGAAAGCUUGACGCAGCGACGCCGCGUGA
rnacentral:rRNA from 1 species